CAUGUCGAGCCCAAAAGACGUCUAAGUGGGAGGGGCUUAUGCACGUGAGCAGCCCUAGUGUCAGACAUGACUAUUAGCGAUUAGCAUCAUUUGAAGCUAAAACGCGUUGAAAAUGAAAAUUUCACGGUGAAACAUUGACAAUGGAGAAUUUUAAAGAAUACAACCACGUGUGCAGACCCAUACUGUAACCACUUAAAAAGAAAGGUUGAUGAGUGGACGACUACUCUAUCUACAUAAUCUCUCACAUGCUUCACAUCUCAUCUUGACAUGAGACGGAGGACACAAUGUACGAAGGUAACCAAUGACACACUGAUGGGUACAGAUAGCAAGGAGCGGGUUUGUGCUCCGAGCAGAGAAACAACUAUGGAGAAUAAUGAACAUUUGGCACGCAAAAUGGAGGAUCCUGUUUGGGAAGCCCUUCCUGCAGAUCCUGAUGCCUUCCAGCACACCGUUGCAGCGCAGCUGGUGCAUCACCAGAGGGUUCUCCAUGGCCCCAGGAGUCUUGGUCUCAUUGGGGAUGAUGCAGCGGACAAAGUGAGGGUUCAUACAGACGUAGGAUGUAGGUCUGGACUCAAGCAUUUUCAUCAACUCGCUCCACAUUAAAAUGAAGGACCCUUCCGAUCCUCACUCGGCAUGGGGAUCACCACAAAUGAGAAGUGUUUCAUUUGCUUAUUCUGAAAAAAAGGAAGGAAAGGAAACUGCAAUCCAGCUAACACUGUCAAACAUGGGAGUAAAUAGGAUCCUGUUUGGGAAGCCCUUCCUGCAGAUCCUGAUGCCUUCCAGCACACCGUUGCAGCGCAGCUGGUGCAUCACCAGAGGGUUCUCCAUGGCCCCAGGAGUCUUGGUCUCAUUGGGGAUGAUGCAGCGGACAAAGUGAGGAUGUAAGAGGAGCUGUGUUCCAUCAAGGACAGCAGGCGUUCCCAGGGCUCUGACAGUUAAGAGCUGGAGCACUGUUGCUCACUCCCUGCUGCAGACAAAUCUCUCUCGAAUUACUUUGGACAGAGUCAGGAUUACACAUCUGAUGAUCCCAAGGGUCAUGGCUGGUCAUCAGUGACUCUCACUCCUCAUCUAGGCCUUUCUGUGGGAAAGAAAGACAAAAGAACAGACGAUUACGUGCUGUACCAAUAAUGAAUUGAUUUGUCUGACUAAUAUUGUGUGACAAAAAUGACAGCCAGCUCGCCACUGUCCCUGCUUUUACUUCUUAUCUUGAGCAACGGUGCAUUUUCCUCAGUGAAACAAUGCAUCUUCCUCUCAUUCAUUCAACGCAAUACUAUGUACUAUUAACAAACGCGUUUCCAUUAAAACAACUAAAAGCAGCUGUUCUUCAUGCCCAGUCUAAUUCAUUGCUGACACAAACGGUGUAGGUUGCAAAAACAUUCUUAAAAAACUUGCGUGGUAAACGCAACAUGACGAGAUAAGUUAAAUCUUAGGUAUAGUUUGAAUUGGUUAUGGAAGUUACUGGUGAUGACUUGUCCCCUUAACUUGAUCCUUCUGCACUAACUCUAACCACCGAUUCCAAAAUAAAGACUACAAAAUUACUUGUGUGGCUCAUUUUAUUGUAGAAUUUGUGAGUGAUGCACAUUUUAAUUCCCAGCUGGUCAGGAAUGAGUGGAUAGCGUCAUGCAGUACUUAGAGUACUUAGUGAAGGGGUGCUGUAGAAGGUCUUACCUUGGAGCCAACAUCCCGACUCUUUGCGCGCAUCUUGUUGACCUGAGAUUCAGCAAUAUCAGCCCUUUCUUCAGCCUCGUCCAACUCAUGCUGCAGUUUUCGGAACUUGCUCAAAUGUGUAUUAGCCUGCUCCUCCUAUCAUCAGAAAACACAGAAAAUCAUAAGUAACCGCAGAAUUGUUCUGUUUUAAUUUUGUUUUGGCGCAGGAAAAAUGGCAUGAUAUUAACUGCGCCAAUAUUUAUUCCUGUGCCCCAGAGUUGCCUUGAGAGAGAUACAAACCUGAGGCCCUCUCGUCGUGAGUCAGCUGCACUAUGUGCUGCCUGAACCAUCAACUUUGGGAAUAAAGGUUUGACAGAGAAAUGAACUAUACUUACGGCCUCCUCAGCAGAUCUCUUGUAAGCUUUGACCUUCAGCUGCAGCUUGUCCACAAGAUCCUGGAGACGCACAACGUUCUUGCGGUCUUCCUCAGUCUGAAUCAAAAACAAUAGUUAAAUGUGGUAUUUAGUUCUAAAAAACAAAAGUCGCUGAACAAUAGUCUGGGUUCUUGCUCAGCCAAGUAGGUGUAAAGACCUGGUAUGUUAGCUCCUUGAUACGCCGCUCGUAUUUGCGAAUUCCUUUCACAGCUUCAGCGCUCUUCUUCUGUUCCGACUCCACUUCAUUCUCAAGUUCCCUCACCUGCAUAUGUGUCACAAUCAAUGGCUAAGAAAACAGAUAGUGCCAGAAAGUGCCUUCAAAUCCCCAUGUACUGCUGACUCAUACCCUAGCCUCGAGUUUCUGGAGCUGCUUCUUUCCUCCCUUCAUGGCGAUCUGCUCAGCUUCGUCCAGACGGUGCUGCAGGUCUUUGAUGGUUUGCUCCAUGUUCUUCUUCAUGCGCUCCAGGUGAGCGCUGGUGUCCUGCUCUUUCUUCAGCUCCUCAGCCAUCAUGGCAGCAUCAGUGAUGGCCUUUUUGGCCUUCUCCUCUGCGUUUCUACACUCCUGGAUUGCGUCUUCAACCUCAGUCUGAAGCUGGGAUGCAUCCACCUCCAGCUUCUUCUUCUGGUUUAUCAGGCCGGUGUUCUGGUGGAGAGAGGAGGUGUGAUGAAGAGUUUGAGAAGUGAUACAAGAGCAAGAGAGAUGUUCCAAACCAUGACGUCUUUUUUACCUGUGAGUGCAGAAGCUGCACUCUCUCACUAACAUCCAGAAGCUCUUGCUCUGCAAGUUUGCGACUUCUUUCUGUUUGCUCAAGAGCAGCUCUGAGUUCCUCCAGCUCUGCCUGCAGCAGAUUAUUGCGUCUCUCCACAAUUGCAAUGUUCUCCUUCAGGUCAUCAUUGGCCCGGACAGCCUCAUCGAGCUGAAUUUGGCAAUCCUGCAUUUACAAAAGCCAUUGUUAAUCUUUCUACUCAUAAUAGAGGAACUUAAAAUCCAUUGUUCGUGUUUACCUUCAGAUGAGCAUGAACAGACUUGAGCUGCUUUUGGGCCUCAGCUGCCUGCCUGUUAGCUUGGCUCAACUGGACCUCCAUCUCAUUCAGGUCUCCUUCCAUCUUCUUCUUCAAACGAAGGGCCUCAUUUCUGCUGCGACACUCGGCUUCAAGAGAGCUCUGCAGGGUAUCAAUGGUCCUCUGCAUGUUCCUCUUGCUCUGCUCCAUCUCCUCAUCUUUUUCUGCCAGUUUACGCUCUAUUUCUGCUUUUAUUUGGUUGAACUCCAGCUGAGCUCGGAGAAUCUUGCCCUCCUCAUGCUCCAAAGAAGCCUGGUAGACAGUGAGGUACAUUUUAAAAUGACAAGACCUUAGCUGGUAAAUAUGUCAGUCUUAAUGUCUGUACUUCUGCUUCCUCAAGAGCUGACUGGAUCUCGCUCUUCUCUUGCUCCUGUUGUUUCCUCAAUUUUUCCAGCUCAUGGAUACUCUUUCCACUCUCACCAAGUUGCUCGGUAAUGUCGGAGAUCUCCUCUGUUGACAGUUAUACUUGAUGAUAAGUACCUUAUUAAGUGUGAUACAUUUCUAGUGAAUAUUAUCUGUGCUCUGACCCUGGAGGUUCUUGUUCUCCCUCUUCAUGGUCUCCAGAUGGUCCAGGGACUCUUCAUAUGAGUUCUUUAGUUUGAAGAGCUCUGUACUCAGGGCUCUGGCCUCCUUCUGAGAGCUUUCCAACUCACACUGAGACUCCUCAUACUUCUGCUUCCACUCAGAUAAGACCUGUUGGGGAUCAGGUUUGAAUUCAGCAGUUAGAUGUUUUGUCUGCAUUAAAGUCAACGUGAGCUUGUGUGGGGAAACCUUGUCAAAGUUUCUUUGCUUCUUGUCCAGGGCAGCAGCAGCCGCAUUCGAUCUCUCCACAUCGACCAUGAGAUCUUCGAUCUCAUUCUGCAGUCUGUGUUUGGUCUUCUCUAGAGAAGAGCAUUUAGCAUUGACUGCCUCGACAGCCUCCUCAGCUUCCUGGAGACGCUGGGCCAACUUCUUCCUAAACAAAAUGAUUCCUGGUCGGUUAUUUAUGUAGUAACUGUUCAUAUAUAAAAUCUGUUGUCCCACAGGCUGCUCAGUCAUCUCCCAGACAAACUUUUUGUUCGUCUUACAUUUUGAAAGGAACAUAACACAAACAAAAAGCUGGUCUGCCAGACAAUAUUGUUUUUUCCAAAACAUUCUAUGACUUAAAUCAAGUCUAAUAAUCUUACUUGGCCUCCUCCAGUUCCUCGGUCCUCUGGAUAGCAUCAGUUUCAUACUUAGUCCUCCACUGAGCCACCUCGGAGUUAGCCUUGGACAUGCCACGUUGCAGCUCACUUUUGGCUUCUUGUUCUUCCUCGUACUGCUCUCUGAGCAGGUCACAGUCAUGACGAGAAGACUGUACGGCAUGUGCCAGAGCACUCUUGGCCUGUCAGUCAUAGGAUAUUUGUAAAUACCAUUGUUGCGUUUGAUAUAGGCGAAUUAAGACCAGCACAAAAUGUACCUUAGUUUCCUCCUCCAGCUGCCUUUUCAAGUCCUCAAUCUGCUGUGUGUAGGACAUUUUUCCUCUUGUCAGUUGAGAAACCAUUGAGUCUUUCUCUUCCAGUUGUCUUGAGAGUUCCCCUGUUACACAAAUAAUAGCAAUCCAAAGUUUUUGUUUCUUCUCAGCCACAAAUACUGAAUACAUGAUGAAAAAAAUAGCCACCGUUUUCAGUUUGGAGCUUGGCCUUUUGCAUGUUGAAGUCAUUUAUGCAACGUUGAGCCUCUUCAAACUUUGUUUUGUACUCGUUCAUCUGAUCUUCCAAUGUUCUGCAAGUCUUCUCUAGAUUGGUCUGUAACAGAGAAAAUAUGUCCAACUCAAGAUCCAGGGACCAAAAGUUGCCUGCAUGUAUUUUUUUGUGGCCUGAAAGAAAUGUAAAUACCUAUAGUCGGCUUACAGCUAAAAUGAAUUGUAGUUAUAUUGUCUAUUUUAAUGUGCAUGUUGAUAUCAUGAACCAUGAUGCUACACAAUGUUGUAUCUUUAAUACAGUAGCUUCUUGCAAUUUCUUGUCAUUUGUUUUUUCUUCGUGAAAACACUAGUAAUUCAGUCAGUGUCACAAACCUUUGUCUUCACAACAUGUUCCAUGUUGGAAACCACAUCAUCCAGUUCCAGGCGGAGCUCGCUCUUCUCCUUCUCCAGUUUCUGCUUGACUCUCUGCAGGUUAUCGAUCUGCUCUCCGAGGUCCGCCACACUGUCGGCCUGUUUCUUCCUCAGUGUCGCAGUUGUGGACUCGUGCUGCAGAGUGGCCUCUUCGAGGUCUCUGCGCAGCUUCUGGAACUCGGCCUCCCUCUUCUUGUUCAUCUCAAUCUGAGCAGAUGUUGCUCCGCCAGCCUCCUCCAGACGCUCACUGAUCUCUUCAAGCUCCCUUGCCAAGUCAGCUCUCUGCUUCUCCACUUUGGCUCGGGCAGCUCGCUCUGCCUCCAGCUCUUCCUCCAGCUCCUCGAUGCGAGCCUGUUUAACAGUCAGGUUCAUUCAUUACUGUGUCGAGUGACUUAUAUUGAACAGUACUUUACCUGGAGCUCCUUCAGUUUCUUCUGUAGCUGAAGGGAUAUCGCCUGCUCAUCUUCUAUUUUAUUGUUGAGCUGACUAAGUUCAAAGUCCUUCCUGUCAAACAGAGUACAACAUAUCAGCUCAUGUCUUCUGUGUAGUAGUUUUAAAUGAAUAUUCACAAUGGGUGAAUGUACUUUUUAAGGUGCUCUUCAAGUUGCUGUUUGUCAUUCUCCAGGUCCAUCAGGCUCUCCUGGUUCAUUUUCAAAUCACCCUCCAGCUUUCUCUUAGCUCUUUCAAGAUCCAUUCUGACCUUCUUCUCCUGUUCUAGAGACCCCUCAAGCUAGGAGAAACCAUUCUAUAUUAGGAUUCAAGUUGGCUAAGAAUUUCAAAACUAUGUUCCUAAAAACCUUCUUACAUCAUCGACUUGUUGCUCCAGCUUGGACUUGGCCUUGGUCAGAGUGUUGACUUUGUCUUCUUCACUCUGCAGGUCGUCCAGUGUUUGCUGGUGGGCUUCCUGUAAUGCUUUCUUCUCCUUGGUCAGCUUGGCAAUGAUCUCGUCCAGAGCUGCCAUCUCCUCGACCAGGUUCUUCACCUGUAAUGAAACCGUUUUGUUAACAAACCACUAUAAGAGUAAUGCAGAGGGAAUUCCUGCUUUUGAUCUGUAGUUGGUCGUACCUUGUUCUCGGUGGCAUGUUUUUCUUUCUCUACUUUUGCCAAAGUUAACUCCAAAUCAUCAAUGUCUUUCUUCAGCUCUGAGCACUCAUCUUCCAAUUUCCUCUUCUUGGCAGUCAGCUCAGCGUUCAUCUCCUCUUCAUCCUCCAGUCUUUCCGACAAUUCUUUGGCCUUGGCCUCCAUUUGUAUUUUGUGUUUGAUUAACCCUUCACACCUUUCCUCAGCAUCAGCAAGAUUGUCUUGCUCCUAUUCAAAGAAAAGUUAUGUUUUCUAAAAAUGUAAUGCAUUGGGUUUUUUUUGUUGAACAGGCUUGGGCUGUUCUUACUGCUUGAACUUGGAGCUGAAGGUCAUUCUUCUCUUGGAGAAGCGAAACCAUUUUCUCUUCGAGUUCCUUCCGGCGAGCUUCAGACUUUGCGUACGCCUCCUUCAACUUGAGGAAUUCUUCUUUCAUGUUCGCCAUCUCUUUUUCUGCUUCAGCAGAUCUCAACAGAGGUUUGAUUUUGAAGUAAAGCUUCAUCCAGGGCCAAUUCUUGACCCCCAUGAAUGCACGAAUGUUCCACUGGAUCACCAGUAGUGCAUCCCUGCAAGGGAAAUACCAACGUUUUUUGUUUCACUGAGCGUUCACAACAUUUCAAAAUAACCUCCUCUUACCUUCUUUCAGUAAUCUUCUGGAAUUCCACUCUCGCCAGAAGACCUCUUGAUCUUGCCUGGAUUCCAGUAAUGAUUAGUGACAGACGGUCAUCUCUCAUUUCCUCUAAUUGCCCAAGAAGACCAGCUUUGAAGAACACCUAGAAGUAAUUGGGAAACUUCAGCAAUCGACAAUCCGACAAAUACACUUGAAUGCAUUUAGGAACCUUCCUUCCUCUUGUUAUUUGAUACAAAUGUAUGUUUGAGAAUAAGUACCUUUGUGUGUCCAAAUUUGUAUUGGUUGUGGUCAAUAUCCAGGGAACCAAGGAGUUUUUCUGCUCCUUUCUUACUAUCAAUGAACUGGCCCUCAGGGAUUGCUGCAGGAUUCAGGAUACGGUAUCUAAAACAGUAAAAGGUCAUGUUUAAGUUCUCGGUUUCUGUUUGAAAGUUUGACGUUAUCAAAUCUGAACUAACACCUCUGUUUGAAAUCUCCAUAGAGGAUCCUGUUUGGGAAGCCCUUCCUGCAGAUCCUGAUGCCUUCCAGCACACCGUUGCAGCGCAGCUGGUGCAUCACCAGAGGGUUCUCCAUGGCCCCAGGAGUCUUGGUCUCAUUGGGGAUGAUGCAGCGGACAAAGUGAGGUCUUAGCAGUGACUUUGUCACCCUCACGACUGACAAUGGAUGCCUUGACAUACUCUUCCUCUGUGUCUGGAACAAAGCACUCCUUCUUCAUGUCAAAGGGCCGCGUCUGAGCCUCCAGCCGCUCCCGGUCUGACUUCCUCAGAAAGGACUGCAACCCAUUUUGGUCCAAAACCACUCAUUGAGAUCUACAGCUAUGGGUGUUUCUACAAGGCUUUUAAUGGCUGGACAGACUUCAUUGGAACCCUGGGAGUGAGCGUGUUUUUAAUCAUGUGCAAUAUUACCUCUGAUGUGCUGUUAAUCAUAUUGUUAAUCCUCAGCACGUACCAGGUGGUAUGCAGUGCAGCUCCCUGCAGGGGUGCUGACAUGCUUGCAUAACCAUACCUUUUCCCAAUUCCCUGAAUGACAGGUUCAUGCUCUCAUGUGUAGAGAAAAGAGACCUCUUGCUAGCUGACCACAAACAUACACUGAGAGACAAUAGGUAGGAGUAUUAUUUUUGAAUACUGUAUUAUUAAUUUUCAUCUUGUUUUACUACAUUGCCAGCCAAGCAGAUGAGGAAUAAGUUUUAGCCCAAACCUGCAUGUGCUAUCACAGUUUCUGAAGCUUCUCUGUGCUGUAUAAUUCAUUUCUCAUAAUUCAAAGUGCCUCUCAUAAACUGUAACCCGCUUGAGUCAGUGGAUGAGUUUCUGACUAACUGCGUGUAUUGAAACUUUGCAAGCGUCUAUCCUUGUCAUUUGGAGUAAGAGGUGGACUUAAGUUUGGAUCCGCAGGCCAGCUGCAAGUGAUUUGGAGCAGGAUUAUGAGAGCGGGUGCUGGUUUUAAUGUCGACCUUGACACUCUGACUCUUUCUUCAGUGCUAUUUUAGGAUCAAGAGAUCAACUGAUCUUGAAUAUCAGAUUGUCGGGUCCUCUGCGAUGAAAAUCUGCCUGACGCAAAGCAAUUGUUUUCCUCCCGCACACAUUCUGCAAUGCUACAUGACAGUUCUCCAGUUGCAAAUUAUCAUGCAAGCUUUAGUUACUACAUCACAGGAAGAUUUCACUCCAAACAGGUAAAAAGGACAACAAAUUAGCUUAAUGCUCGACUUUAUUAUAUGCUACAUUUCUACAUUUUAGAUCUACUUCACACAGCAGGCAAAAGGUUUUCCGAGCAGUCCGAAAACCUUACUCCUCAUCAAACCCUUUCUGUCUCAGCAGGGGAGGUUGUGGAGCAGAAAAAAAGAAAAUAACAUUAGCCUUUGUUUAGUACCACAAAGCAAAGCAUAGCUAUGUCAUUAAGUGGCAGAGCCAAGAUUCAUACUGAAGUGUGUCAGUGCCUGGGCCAUGUGUCUAACCUUGGGACCAACAUCGCGGCUCUUGGCUCGGAGCUUGUUGACCUGUGACUCUGCGAUGUCAGCACGCUCUUCAGCUUCAUCCAGCUCAUGCUGCAGCUUGCGGAACUUGCCAAGGUGAGCGUUGGACUGCUCCUCCUGAUUUGACAAAUACAGUUGAAGACAGUGGCACUAGGCACAGACGGAUGACUUGAAGUGUUUCUGUACGUACAGCUUCCUCAGCUGAUCUCUUGUAGGCUUUAACCUUCAGCUGCAGUUUGUCCACCAGAUCUUGAAGUCGAGCAACAUUUUUGCGAUCCUCAUCAGUCUGUUAAAAAAAGGUAAUUGUUAUUUCUGGGUUUUUGUUCAUUUAAUUUUUUUUAUAACAUAACUUAGGCUCAUGUUUUUUUGCUAAUGAAAUUUAGGAUGGUUACACACAGUAGAUGGCGCUCUCAGCCCUAUAAUAUUUGAAUUUGAGCAAUUGUGUGAAUGAAACUCCACCUCUUCCCUCUGAUGUUGAGCUAUGAUGUGUCUGCAUUCACCUCUAAUAUUUCUGUGGGGAGCAAUGGGGAUUUCUUUAGGCACAAACAGUCCGUACUUGAAGUUCAGUUAGAAGUUUGUGAGAUAAAGGGAUGAACGUCUCAAAUUAAGUUGUGAACGGCUUGUUGCUCCACUGUCAAUCAGUAAUGUUGUUGUUUGUGGGACCACAGUUAUAUAUAUUCUACUGUCGAUGGGUAGCUAUUAAGAAACAAAAACUUGCUGGCUUUUAUGUUCUCAGGAGCUGAGAGGUGAUUUACAGACCUGAUAAGUCAGCUCCUUGAUGCGGCGCUCAUAUUUCCUUAUUCCUUUCACCGCUUCGCCGUUUUUCUUCUGCUCCGCCUCUACUUCGUUUUCCAGCUCUCUCACCUAGAUGACAUGAAUAAAGUUAUCUCACCAGCUGUCACACUCUGAUGAAGACAAGACGCACCCUGGCCUCAAGCUUCUGGAGCUGCUUCUUUCCUCCCUUCAUGGCGAUCUGCUCAGCUUCGUCCAGACGGUGCUGCAGGUCUUUGAUGGUUUGCUCCAUGUUCUUCUUCAUGCGCUCCAGGUGAGCGCUGGUGUCCUGCUCUUUCUUCAGCUCCUCAGCCAUCAUGGCAGCAUCAGUGAUGGCCUUUUUGGCCUUCUCCUCUGCAUUUCUACACUCCUGGACUGCGUCUUCAACCUCAGUCUGAAGCUGGGAUGCAUCAGCCUCCAGCUUCUUCUUCUGGUUUAUCAGGCCGGUGUUCUGAACGUCGUAGACGUGUGAUCAGUGUCAAUACUUUUAAUUCAUUCCUCAUAAUAGGACAGGAAGACUUGUUUGGUGCUGACCUGUGAGUGCAGUAGCUGAACUCUCUCAGUAACAUCCAGCAGCUCUUGUUCAGCAAGUUUUCGGGUUCUCUCUGUUUGCUCAAGAGCGGCUCUGAGUUCCUCCAGCUCUGCCUGAAGCAGGUUGUUGCGCCUCUCAACGAUUGCAGUGUUCUCCCUCAGAUCAUCAUUGAGGCGAUGAGACUCAUCCAGUUGAAUUUGGCAAUCCUUAAUAAAAGAGCACAGUCAGCAUAAAUGAUCCUAACUGCCCCUCAAAUAUUGGAACUGUUAUUGGGUUGAUUUUUGAGUCCACCUUCAGAUGAGCAUGAACAGACUUGAGCUGCUUUUGGGCCUCAGCUGCCUGCCUGUUGGCUUGGCUCAACUGGACCUCCAUCUCAUUCAGGUCUCCUUCCAUCUUCUUCUUCAAACGAAGGGCCUCAUUUCUGCUGCGACACUCGGCUUCAAGAGAGCUCUGCAGGGUAUCAAUGGUCCUCUGCAUGUUCCUCUUGCUCUGCUCCAUCUCCUCAUCUUUCUCAGCGAUCUUGCGCUCCAUGUCAGCCUUGAUUUGGUUGAACUCUAGUUGAGCUCGCAGGAUCUUUCCUUCCUCAUGUUCUAAGGAACCCUGCGAUGGAAAUUAAGUCAGUAGCUGACAUAUCAUUUAGUGAUUUCAAUCUUGGAAUUACCUCCGCUUCUUCAAGGGCAGACUGAAUCUCACCCUUCUCCUGCUCCAGUAGCUUACGUGCCUUAUCCAACUCAUACACAGUCUUUCCUCCCUCACUGAGUUGCUCAGUUAGGUCAGAAAUCUCCUCUGUUAGCAGAGGAAAUGAGUUAUUCGUACCAGCAGCGGAUCCAGGUGAGUGUCACCAACGAUUACCUUGCAGGUUUUUGUUUUCUCUUUUCAUGGUCUCCAGGUGUUCCAAAGACUCUUCAUAUGAGUUUUUAAGUUUGAAGAGCUCUGUGCUCAGAGAUCUGGAUUCCUUCUGGGAGCUCUCCAGUUCACACUGAGACUCCUCAUACUUCUGCUUCCACUCGGCCAGAAUCUGAACAGAAAUAAAAUGUGAAUACCGUACCUCUAGUUAAACCAGCUUCCUCGCCCCAAUCUCUUGACAGGUAGACAAUUUAAAUGUCAAGUGCCUUGUCAAAGUUUCUUUGCUUCUUGUCCAGGGCAGCAGCAGCAGCAUUAGAUCUCUCCACAUCGACCAUGAGAUCUUCAAUCUCAUUCUGCAGUCUGUGUUUGGUCUUCUCCAGAGAAGAGCAUUUAGCAUUGACUGCCUCGACAGCCUCCUCAGCCUCCUGCAGACGCAGGGCCAACUUCUUUCUGUGACAGUCAAAUAGAGUGGUUUUAGAAAUGUAAUUGAACCUGUAUUUCAGUACAGGGGUUUUACUCAAAACAAUUUCAAUUUCCUGUAUUAUAAUAGCUUACUUGGCUUCCUCCAGUUCCUCGGUCCUCUGGAUAGCAUCAGUUUCAUACUUAGUCCUCCACUGAGCCACCUCAGAGUUAGCCUUGGACAUGCCACGCUGCAGCUCACUUUUGGCUUCUUGUUCUUCCUCGUACUGCUCUCUGAGCAGGUCACAGUCAUGACGGGCCGACUGCACUGCAUGUGCUAGUGCAUUCUUGGCCUGGUCCACAGAAGCAUGAGCAUUUUGAUGUUAUUUUGAUUUUACAUAAGUCAUUCACUUACCUUGAUCUCUUCUUCUAGUUGUCUCUUAAGAUCCUCAACCUGCUGGUUGUAUGAAUUCUUCCCCCUAGUUAGCUGGGAUACAAGAGAUUCCUUCUCCUCCAGCUGUCUUGAAUAUUCAUCUGCAUUGGAAAAAAAUGUAAAGCUGCUACAAGUUGUCUGGUGAGUGUGCUAUUUCCUGGAUGAGUGCUGACCAUUCUCAGCUUGAAGCUUGGCUUUCUGAGUGGUGAAGUCAUUGAGAGUCCUUUGAUUUUCAUCACACUUCAUCCUGUAUUCGUUCGCUUGAUCCUCCAAUGUUCUGCAGGUUUUCUCUAAGUUGGUCUUUAAAGUGGAGACGCACAUUAGGUCGAUUGUUUUCUCUGUUAUUUUCAGCGAUGUUUCCAGGUUUUUAAAUGUCUUCUACCUUUGCUUUGACUACUUGCUCCAAACUGGAAACCACAUCAUCCAGUUCCAGGCGUAGCUCGCUCUUCUCCUUCUCCAGUUUCUGCUUGACUCUCUGCAGGUUAUCGAUCUGCUCUCCGAGGUCAGCCACACUGUCGGCCUGUUUCUUCCUCAGUGUCGCAGCGGUGGCUUCGUGCUGCAGAGUGGCCUCUUCGAGGUCUCUGCGCAGCUUCAGGAACUCGGCCUCCCUCUUCUUGUUCAUCUCAAUCUGAGCAGAUGUUGCUCCGCCAGCCUCCUCCAGACGCUCACUGAUCUCUUCCAGCUCCCUUGCCAAGUCAGCUCUCUGCUUCUCCACUUUGGCUCGGGCAGCUCGCUCUGCCUCCAGCUCUUCCUCCAGCUCCUCAACACGGGCCUUCAAAGUAUUUCAAACAAUCAUUUGUGUUACGUGUUGGCAUAUUAAAGUAAUCUCUCCAGUGUCUUUCAUUACCUGUAACUCUUUCAGCUUCUUUUGAAGUUGAAUGAUCAAUGUUUGCUCAUCUUCAAUUUUGCCAUUCAGCUGGCUGAUCUCAAAGUCUUUCCUGCAUCAACCAUGUUCACUGAUGAAUAUUAAUUUUGAAUAAGGAAAAAAAAAGACGUCAUAUUUACUUUUUCAAGCGUUCUUCCAACUGCUGUUUGUCAUUUUCUAAAUCCAUGACAGUUUCUUGGGUCAACUUUAAGUCACCCUCCAGCUUCCUUUUUGCUCUCUCGAGAUCCAUUCGGACCUUCUUUUCUUGUUCCAGAGAACCUUCAAGCUGGAUAUAUCCAUAAACAUUACUGCUUUGUCACUCAAGAGCCACAUUAAAAAGCAUAAGUCUUCUUACAUCAUCAACUUGCUGUUCCAGCUUGGUCUUGGCCUUGGUCAGAGUGUUGACUUUGUCUUCUUCACUCUGCAGGUCAUCCAGUGUUUGCUGGUGGGCUUCCUGUAAUGCUUUCUUCUCCUUAGUCAGCUUGGCGAUGAUCUCAUCCAGACCUGCCAUCUCUUCAGUCAGGUUUUUAACCUGUCGACAAUUUUAGAAUCAUUUUAUGCUUAACAAUUCACAAACUUUUGGUACCUUGUUCUCAGUGGCAUGCUUCUCUUUUUCCACUUUUGCUAAGGUUAACUCUAAAUCAUCAAUGUCCUUCUUCAAUUCAGAGCACUCGUCUUCCAGCUUUCUUUUCUUUGCUGUCAACUCAGCAUUCAUCUCCUCCUCAUCCUCCAGUCUUUCUGUUAGCUCUUUAGCUUUAGCCUCCAGUUGGAUCUUGUUUUUGAUCAGCCCUUCACAUCUUUCCUCAGCGUCACAGAGAUUGUCUUGUUCCUGCCAGGAAUUGACAACUUCAGCAUCUCAUCGUCACUUUUAAAAGAUCUACGCAGGUGUCACUAGCACCGUUUGAACUUGGAGCUGAAGGUCAUUCUUCUCUUGGAGAAGCGAGACCAUUUUCUCCUCUAGUUCCUUCCUGCGAGCUUCAGACUUUGCAUAUGAUUCUUUCAACUUGAGGAAUUCUUCCUUCAUGUUAGCCAUCUCCUUUUCUGCUUCAGCAGACCGCAGCAGAGGUUUGAUCUUAAAGAAAAGCUUCAUCCAGGGCCAAUUCUUGACCCCCAUGAAAGAACGCACAUUCCAUUGGAUCACAAGUAAAGCGUCUCUGGAAGAUGAAAAAGACAACUGCAUGACAUUGAUUAUUCUUUAUAUUCAAAUUCAGAAUCGGAAAAUACCUGCGCUCCACCAUCUUCUGAUACUCAAUACGGGACAAAAGUCCUCGUGAUCUCGCUUGAAUUCCGGUGAUGAUUUUGGAGAGACGUUCAUCUCUCAUUUCCUCGAGUAGACCCAACAGUCCAGCUUUGAAGAACACCUUGGCUCACACAACAUUUAAGUCACCUUAACUUUUCAUUUUCAUUUGAAUGAAAGAAGUCAGUAAAGUGAGAUAAGUACCUUUGUGUGUCCAAACCUGUACUGAUUGUGAUCGAUAUCCAGAGACCCGAGAAGUUUCUCAGCUCCCUUUCUACUGUCAAUAAACUGACCCUCAGGGAUCGCAGCAGGAUUCAGAAUGCGGUACCUGAAAGGAUAAUGCGCUGGUUGUUUAUCUACUCCUUGUUGCCAUGGUGAAUUCCACGUACGCCAGCCAGUCCCAACUAGAUUAUGUCUUGCAAUAAGUGUUCUCCAACAGUGUUGAUAAUGUUGCUUGGCCUGUACCAUAAAUGAAAACAAUUCAGUUUUAUUUGGUGGUUGAACUGUCAUCUACUCCGGAGUUGCCAAGCUAGUGUAGGCUCACUUACUGCCCCUGAUCUCCAUAGAGGCAUGUCCAACUGGGAGUAGGUCCUGGGACUGACCUAAGACAUGACCCACAGAUGAUGGCUCUAGAUUGACCUGGAAAUGUCUCUGUAUUCACCCAGAAUAUCUGGAAAAGAUUAGGAUGUUUGGCCCUCUAAAACAGAACUUGUUUCUGUGCAGUUAAGUGUCAACUUAUCAUUAAAUAUUGUGUUUCACCUUAUGAAAUCACCCCCCUCCUUCUCCUUGUCUAAAAAGUAAACACAACAGUCGCCCAUAACAUUACACAGAUCUUCAAGUGGAUUGUUCAACCUCUGUUUGAAAUCUCCAUAGAGGAUCCUGUUUGGGAAGCCCUUCCUGCAGAUCCUGAUGCCUUCCAGCACACCGUUGCAGCGCAGCUGGUGCAUCACCAGAGGGUUCUCCAUGGCCCCGGGAGUCUUGGUCUCAUUGGGGAUGAUGCAGCGGACAAAGUGAGGCAUUGCCAGGAACUUUCAAACACAUACCUCAUGUGACUCCUCCACUGCCGCGGCCUUUAUCUUUGCUUUGGCAACACUCACUUCCCAGCUCGGACCGGCCGUUGACAUGAACCAGGUUCCUUGUGCUGCCUGGCAAAGCAAAGUGAAAUGAACUUCAGGGCACAAUGAGGGUUUUUUUGGAAGACAUUGCUCCAUCUUUUACUUAAAAUUGCUUUGCUUUUUAUAAUUUGUGAUGUAUGUGACGUUCUGCUAAUCUGGAUGUGAGACGACUCCAUCUGCAUAAUGAAGUGCGGCCCUGGGGCCACUUGUGGCCCUUCGCAGGGAUUGAGGUGCAUCUCAUGAAGUCAGAGUGAAACUGAGUUGGUGGAGAUGUUUCUGUCUGCCAACUAAAAGCCAUGUACUUACCGAGUUCAAUUUUAUGUGAGAGUUUGGACUUAGUUUUAGUUAGAUAUUCUCCCCUAUUUUUUUCUUUCCUUCUUUCUUUCCUGACAACAACUUGUUUUAGUACGCAUUUAAUAAAAGAAUGUAAAAUGUAUUGGACCAUUCAAUCCUAUAUGCAUGCUGAAGGAUUAUUCUUAUUUAUAUAUUCUUUAUAUUUAUAUAUUCUUUUUUUUUAAUGUCGUAGCAUAGCUGUUGCUAGCUCAAAAUUGAUACAACAAAGUAGUAUUGUCUCUGAAACGCCGCCAGCGUUGCGCUACAACAUAUGAUGCUUGUUUGUAAAGCAGCUACUUUUGUGAAGUUGCUUUAGUCAACUUAUCGGCUUGCAAUAAGCUGAGGGCUUCCCUGACGUUUCGUUCUCAACAGCCUGCAGGGGUGACUUCAGUGUCUCUUUAUUGACCGCGUGUCAACUUUGCUUUGUUUAUGUAUGUCGCCACUAAAAGCAUGUCUGUCUGAGAGGAGGGGUCUGUGGCUGCAUGUCUCUGAUGUUCAGAGAAAUUAAAAGAGUGAAAAAAAUUCAGAUUUGUCCAUCACCAGAUUCAUGGAAUGCACUUCAGCUGUUGAAGGGCUGUUACCAGUUGUUACCAGAUUAGCACGGGAGGGUCAAGCCCAGCAGCUGCAUUCAUGUGACCCCACCUUAAAUAAAGAUAGUGAAGUAAUUGUAUUUGUACAUGGUCAUAAUAGAUUGAGCUGACUUAAUGUGGAAAGAAAAAGGUCUGCAGCUAUCUUUAGAAACGUUUGUCAUCCUAAGAGAAGAGAUUGGAGAUAUGUCUGCGACAGAGCUAUUUUUAAAAUGGCCGAAAGUAAACUGUUUCUCUCCUUGACUGUCAACUGACACUAGAUGAUAAGUGCGGCGCAGUAAAGGGUCUGAUCGAUAUCUGGCCACACAACAUUGUCCUAAAACAACUUUGCAAACUCCCUGAACACUGAGGUGUGCAGCUGCAGGAAACUGGUGCUGGGGAACGGGAGCACAGCGCAGUGGUCUGGGAUUCGGGAUGUGUGCGGAUGUUUGAUAACUCAAGGGUUUUCUCCUUUAUUAGGGUGAUGAACAUCAGAUUUUAUUAACAGACAGAUUGACUUAAGUGAAUAAUGCUGUGCUCUACAGUGACUGCUUUCCUCGCCAAGAUCUUGCGACUGCGGAGCUGUCUGCAUGAGGACAACAAAGUGGAAAAACGUAGAUUCUUCCCAAGUUACUGAAGAAUACUAUAGACUAUUUGUUGAUCAUUCGUUCAGCGUGUUGUGAGAGUAGCAUGAAGAUUUUGUUGUCUAGAAACCUUAAAACCAAGCGAUGGGUUGGUGUAGCUUCAGGAAGCACUGUCAACAUUGUCAGAUCUCAUUAGUUGGUGCUCCUGGUUUAAAAAACAUAUGUGAGGUUUCAUUUAUGAGUUGGACAAAGAUUAUAGAGCAGAGAAUGACAUCGAGUGUCUGCGAACUUGUUCUUCCAGUCUUAUCCGUCCAAUGAGGCGCUUCACAUUCCUCCAGUCCUGACCAGAGGGUAAACAGUAAGUAUCCAGUGCUUGUAUCUGCAAGGGCAACAAGAUCCAUGGGCACACUUGCUCCUUUCAUUUCUGCUUUUCUAAGAUGCUCUUGCUGUCAUGCUAAUGUUUAGCUUGGUGUUUUGGCCAAACUCAUUUUCAUUAAGUACUGAGUUUGGUCACUGAAACACAAUUCAUCUUUAAGUCUCAUAUAUAAUUUAUUGUUUGUUGAGGCAUCAUAGUGCAUUUAUAAGGCCUCAUGUUAUGAGACUUCAUAACCUUGUAGACAACUAGGUUUGACCGUUUAUUAACUUAAGGUUUAUUAUGUAUUAUAAGGUGCAGAAUUUGAAAGAAUAAGAAAGAACAUUAUCCUGUGUGGUUCGGUUAUGGCUAGUGAUGGGCUGAUGAGGCUUCGUAAAACAGUGUCUUCCUUCUCAGUGCUCAGAAGAUGGUGCUGUUGGUUUAGAAUUGAUGUGAAGUUCCAUUGACGCAGUUAAAUUCCAAAUAUUUUAGAGCAGAGAGCGCCAUCUAGUGAGCUCUGAAAAUGCGGACACUGUUUCAUGAAACCUCAUAAGCCCGUCACUUGUUCAGGGUUAGGGUUCAGGGCUCUUGAGUCUUUAUAACUACACAACUUAUAUUUUACAAACCUUGACACAAGUUACCAUACAUGGUUAUUAACAUUCAUCUCCUAUAGUGUUAUAAAAGCAUUAUGAUGUCUUGUGGAUGCACUAAUAAUGUAUUCGAAAUGAGAGCUUUUUUAUUUGACCUUGUGAUGCUCACACAGUGCACAUCAGAUGAAUUUCAAGUUGUUCCAGUAGUUUCAUAAAUCAUAUAAGUCACAGUGAAUCUCAACAGGUUUGGUUUGCCAAAGUUCUUUCAGCUCGGGUCCAGAUGAAUAUUAGUCUGUGUGUGAGCUGGAUAUUAAUAAACCCUUUGUUUAAGACCCUGUGUGACCCUGCUGAUCCUGCCAGACCACACAAUGGUUGUUUACCGGACGCACUGAGUGGCAUUUCACCUGAUAACAGGCGCUGAGAUAAAGCGUUGCUUUUACCAGAACUGGACACAAGUAUGUCCAGGCAGAGUCACGGGGGAAAAUGACCGGCCUGGCGAAACAAAGGACCUGCUGAUAGAGGAGUUAUUUUGGGCCGACAUCUCAUUUACCAUUGGCUGCAGAUUCAAGGAGCGAAUGCGGGCGUUGUUACAGCAUCCAGCUAAACAACCUGCUGUGUUUCAGCACAAAAAAGGCUUUUCCCUCCACAUUUUUUUUCUUCUGUGAAUAGAUUCACUUUGCAUUAUUUUUAUUUAGAACUGCGCAUUAUUGCCACACAUUGAGAUUUAAGUCAUAAUAUUACAAACAUAGAUAAUGUGAAGUUGAGAUUGGGCCGUGUUUCACCUUUAACAAGUAGAUGAGGGAAACCAGCAAUGAGCAACAGAGAUCGAAUGGCAUUGGAAGGAGGAAGGAAGAACUGAAGAAGGGUAAACAAAAUGAGAGGAGACGCUACCGGGACAAACUGUGGAAGAACUGAGACUAUUAAAGGUUUUGAGCAGAGGUGGAUGCUAUGUUGUUCAUUCGGGAGCAGCAACAUUGAGAGGUUUCUGGAUAAAAGUAAACUUUGGUAUAAAAUAUUCUGUGCCUCAGAAUUUAUCUCUCUUUGUCCUUUCUGUUUUCUUUGUA